rnacentral:rRNA from 1 species
UACGAAGGGGGCUAGCGUUGCUCGGAAUUACUGGGCGUAAAGGGCGCGUAGGCGGACAGUUAAGUCAGAGGUGAAAGCCCAGGGCUCAACCCUGGAAUUGCCUUUGAUACUGGCUGUCUUGAGUAUGGGAGAGGUGAGUGGAACUCCGAGUGUAGAGGUGAAAUUCGUAGAUAUUCGGAAGAACACCAGUGGCGAAGGCGACUCACUGGCCCAUUACUGACGCUGAGGCGCGAAAGCGUGGGGAGCGAACAGG